GGUUAAGCGACUAAGCGUACACGGUGGAUGCCCUGGCAGUCAGAGGCGAUGAAGGGCGUGCUAAUCUGCGAUAAGCGCCGGUAAGGUGAUAUGAACCGUUAUAACCGGCGAUACCCGAAUGGGGAAACCCAGUGUGAUUCGUCACACUAUCAUUACGUGAAUACAUAGCGUAAUGAAGCGAACCGGGGGAACUGAAACAUCUAAGUACCCCGAGGAAAAGAAAUCAACCGAGAUUCCCCCAGUAGCGGCGAGCGAACGGGGAGGAGCCCAGAGCCUGAAUCAGCAUGUGUGUUAGUGGAAGCGUCUGGAAAGGCGCGCGAUACAGGGUGACAGCCCCGUACACAAAAGCGCAUGUGUUGUGAGCUCGAUGAGUAGGGCGGGACACGUGGUAUCCUGUCUGAAUAUGGGGGGACCAUCCUCCAAGGCUAAAUACUCCUGACUGACCGAUAGUGAACCAGUACCGUGAGGGAAAGGCGAAAAGAACCCCGGCGAGGGGAGUGAAAAAGAACCUGAAACCGUGUACGUACAAGCAGUGGGAGCACCCUUUGGGGUGUGACUGCGUACCUUUUGUAUAAUGGGUCAGCGACUUAUAUUCUGUAGCAAGGUUAACCGUAUAGGGGAGCCGUAGGGAAACCGAGUCUUAACCGGGCGUUAAGUUGCAGGGUAUAGACCCGAAACCUGGUGAUCUAGCCAUGGGCAGGUUGAAGGUUGGGUAACACUAACUGGAGGACCGAACCGACUAAUGUUGAAAAAUUAGCGGAUGACCUGUGGCUGGGGGUGAAAGGCCAAUCAAACCGGGAGAUAGCUGGUUCUCCCCGAAAGCUAUUUAGGUAGCGCCUCGUGAAUUCAUCUCCGGGGGUAGAGCACUGUUUCGGCUAGGGGGCCAUCCCGGCUUACCAACCCGAUGCAAACUGCGAAUACCGGAGAAUGUUAUCACGGGAGACACACGGCGGGUGCUAACGUCCGUCGUGAAGAGGGAAACAACCCAGACCGCCAGCUAAGGUCCCAAAGUCAUGGUUAAGUGGGAAACGAUGUGGGAAGGCCCAGACAGCCAGGAUGUUGGCUUAGAAGCAGCCAUCAUUUAAAGAAAGCGUAAUAGCUCACUGGUCGAGUCGGCCUGCGCGGAAGAUGUAACGGGGCUAAACCAUGCACCGAAGCUGCGGCAGCGACGCUGAUGCGUUGUUGGGUAGGGGAGCGUUCUGUAAGCCUGCGAAGGUGGCCUGUGAGGGUUGCUGGAGGUAUCAGAAGUGCGAAUGCUGACAUAAGUAACGAUAAAGCGGGUGAAAAGCCCGCUCGCCGGAAGACCAAGGGUUCCUGUCCAACGUUAAUCGGGGCAGGGUGAGUCGACCCCUAAGGCGAGGCCGAAAGGCGUAGUCGAUGGGAAACGGGUUAAUAUUCCCGUACUUGGUGUUACUGCGAAGGGGGGACGGAGAAGGCUAUGUUGGCCGGGCGACGGUUGUCCCGGUUUAAGCGUGUAGGUGUGUGUUCCAGGUAAAUCCGGUUCACUUUAACACUGAGGCGUGACGACGAGGCACUACGGUGCUGAAGCAACAAAUGCCCUGCUUCCAGGAAAAGCCUCUAAGCAUCAGGUAACAUCAAAUCGUACCCCAAACCGACACAGGUGGUCAGGUAGAGAAUACCAAGGCGCUUGAGAGAACUCGGGUGAAGGAACUAGGCAAAAUGGUGCCGUAACUUCGGGAGAAGGCACGCUGACACGUAGGUGAAGUGAUUUACUCAUGGAGCUGAAGUCAGUCGAAGAUACCAGCUGGCUGCAACUGUUUAUUAAAAACACAGCACUGUGCAAACACGAAAGUGGACGUAUACGGUGUGACGCCUGCCCGGUGCCGGAAGGUUAAUUGAUGGGGUCAGCGCAAGCGAAGCUCCUGAUCGAAGCCCCGGUAAACGGCGGCCGUAACUAUAACGGUCCUAAGGUAGCGAAAUUCCUUGUCGGGUAAGUUCCGACCUGCACGAAUGGCGUAAUGAUGGCCAGGCUGUCUCCACCCGAGACUCAGUGAAAUUGAACUCGCUGUGAAGAUGCAGUGUACCCGCGGCAAGACGGAAAGACCCCGUGAACCUUUACUAUAGCUUGACACUGAACAUUGAGCCUUGAUGUGUAGGAUAGGUGGGAGGCUUUGAAGUGUGGACGCCAGUCUGCAUGGAGCCGACCUUGAAAUACCACCCUUUAAUGUUUGAUGUUCUAACGUGGACCCGUGAUCCGGGUUGCGGACAGUGUCUGGUGGGUAGUUUGACUGGGGCGGUCUCCUCCUAAAGAGUAACGGAGGAGCACGAAGGUUGGCUAAUCCUGGUCGGACAUCAGGAGGUUAGUGCAAUGGCAUAAGCCAGCUUGACUGCGAGCGUGACGGCGCGAGCAGGUGCGAAAGCAGGUCAUAGUGAUCCGGUGGUUCUGAAUGGAAGGGCCAUCGCUCAACGGAUAAAAGGUACUCCGGGGAUAACAGGCUGAUACCGCCCAAGAGUUCAUAUCGACGGCGGUGUUUGGCACCUCGAUGUCGGCUCAUCACAUCCUGGGGCUGAAGUAGGUCCCAAGGGUAUGGCUGUUCGCCAUUUAAAGUGGUACGCGAGCUGGGUUUAGAACGUCGUGAGACAGUUCGGUCCCUAUCUGCCGUGGGCGCUGGAGAACUGAGGGGGGCUGCUCCUAGUACGAGAGGACCGGAGUGGACGCAUCACUGGUGUUCGGGUUGUCAUGCCAAUGGCACUGCCCGGUAGCUAAAUGCGGAAGAGAUAAGUGCUGAAAGCAUCUAAGCACGAAACUUGCCCCGAGAUGAGUUCUCCCUGAGACUUAGAGUCUCCUGAAGGAACGUUGAAGACGACGACGUUGAUAGGCCGGGUGUGUAAGCGCAGCGAUGCGUUGAGCUAACCGGUACUAAUGAACCGUGAGGCUUAACCUU
rnacentral:rRNA from 1 species